UUUCCAUGGGUAGAAACGAGAUUAUCUGAAGAUCAAAGAAGCCACCUGGCCUCUGCCUUCUUGAAACUGAUGCUAUACUGGAGUUGGAAAAAGAGAGCAUCACUAGAUUAGCCAUUCAUCUACUUGUAAUUUCAUCCACCAAUGACUGCUGAAGCUCUGAGGUUCAGGGGUGCCAGGACUUAUUAAGAAGAUAUGGAGCUAUGACAGUUAUGUCAACUUCCAACUGGGUCAGUGGGAUGAGCUCUUAUUCAUAGAAGAAAACAGGUGCAGGAAAUUGAG